GCUUGUCUCAAAGAUUAAGCCAUGCAUGUCUAAGUAUAAGCAACCUUAUACAGCGAAACUGCGUACAGCUCAUUAUAUCAGCAAUUAUUUAUUUGAAGAUCACCUAUUACAUGGAUAACCGUGGUAAUUCUAGAGCUAAUACAUGCUGUAAAGCCCGACUUCUCGGAAGGGCCGUAUUUAUUAGAUAACAGACCAGCAGCUUCGGCUAUUGUGGUGAAUCAUAGUAACUAAUCGGAUCGCAUGGGCUAGUCCCGCGACAAACCAUUCAAGUUUCUGCCCCAUCAGCUUUCGACGGUAGUGUAUUGGACUACCGUGGCUUUUACGGGUAACGGAGGAUUAGGGUUCGAUUCCGGAGAGGGAGCCUGAGAAACGGCUACCACAUCUAAGGAAGGCAGCAGG
rnacentral:rRNA from 1 species